rnacentral:rRNA from 1 species
GAUGAACGCUAGCUACAGGCUUGACACAUGCAAGUCGAGGGGAAACGACAUUCGAAGCUUGCUUCCGAUGGGCGUCGACCGGCGCACGGGUGAGUAACGCGUAUCCAACCUGCCCAUCACUUGGGGAUAACCUUGCGAAAGUAAGACUAAUACCCAAUGAUAUCUCUAGAAGACAACUGAAAGGGAUUAAAGCUUUAUUGGUGAUGGAUGGGGAUGCGUCUUAUUAGCUUGUUGGCCGGGUAACCGCCCACCAAGGCGACGAUCAGUAGGGGGUCUGCGAGGAAGGUCCCCCACAUUGGGACUGGGACACGGUCCUAACUCCUGAGGGAGGCAGCAGUUAGGAAUAUUGGUCAAUGGGCGAGAGCCUAAACCAGCCAAGUAGCGUGCAGGAAGACGGCCCUAUGGGUUGUAAACUGCUUUUAUAAGUGAAUAAAGUGAGUCUCGUGAGACUUUUGCAUGUACCUUAUGAAUAAGGACCGGCUAAUUCCGUGCCAGCCGCCGCCGUAA